rnacentral:rRNA from 1 species
AUUAGAUAAAAAACCAAUGCCCUUCGGGGCUUUCUGGUGAUUCAUAAUAACUAAACGAAUCGCAUGGCCUUUUGUGCCGGCGAUGGUUCAUUCAAAUUUCUGCCCUAUCAACUUUCGAUUGUAGGAUAGAGGCCUACAAUGGUUUCAACGGGUAACGGAGAAUUAGGGUUCGAUUCCGGAGAGGGGGCCUGAGAAACGGCCACCACAUCCAAGGAAGGCAGCAGGCGCGCAAAUUACCCAAUCCCGACACGGGGAGGUAGUGACAAUAAAUACUGAUACAGGGCUCUUUUGGGUCUUGUAAUUGGAAUGAGUACAAUUUAAAUCCCUUAACGAGGAACAAUUGGAGGGCAAGUCUGGUGCCAGCAGCCGCGGUAAUUCCAGCUCCAAUAGCGUAUAUUAAAGUUGUUGCAGUUAAAAAGCUCGUAGUUGAACCUUGGGUCUGGCUGGUCGGUCCGCCUCACCGCGUGUACUGGUCCGGCCGGACCUUUCCUCUUGGGGAUCCACAUGCCCUUUACUGGG